AUUAGAGUUUGAUCAUGGCUCAGGAUGAACGCUAGCGGCAGGCCUAAUACAUGCAAGUCGAACGAUACCGAGAGGCUUGCUUCUCGGGAAAGUGGCGCACGGGUGCGUAACGCGUAUGCAACCUACCUCAAUCAGGGGGAUAGCCCGAAGAAAUUCGGAUUAACACCGCAUAAAAUCACAGGAUAGCAUUAUCUAAUGAUCAAAUAUUUAUAGGAUUGAGAUGGGCAUGCGUGUCAUUAGUUAGUUGGCGAGGUAACGGCUCACCAGGACCACGAUGACUAGGGGAUCUGAGAGGAUGACCCCCCACACUGGUACUGAGACACGGACCAGACUCCUACGGGAGGCAGCAGUAAGGAAUAUUGGUCAAUGGAGGCAACUCUGAACCAGCCAUGCCGCGUGCAGGAAGACAGCCCUCUGGGUCGUAAACUGCUUUUAUUCGGGAAUAAACCUACUUACGUGUAAGUAGCUGAAUGUACCGAAGGAAUAAGGAUCGGCUAACUCCGUGCCAGCAGCCGCGGUAAUACGGAGGAUCCAAGCGUUAUCCGGAUUUAUUGGGUUUAAAGGGUGCGUAGGCGGCUUAUUAAGUCAGGGGUGAAAGACGGUGGCUCAACCAUCGCAGUGCCCUUGAUACUGAUGAGCUUGAAUACACUAGAGGUAGGCGGAAUGUGACAAGUAGCGGUGAAAUGCAUAGAUAUGUCACAGAACACCGAUUGCGAAGGCAGCUUACUAUGGUGUCAUUGACGCUGAGGCACGAAAGCGUGGGGAUCAAAAGGGAUUAGAUACCCCUGUAGUCCACGCCCUAAACGUUGUACACUAGGUCUCGGGGAAAUCAUCCUUUUCGGGGCCCAAGCUAACGCGAUAAGUGUACCGCCUGAGGACUACGACCGCAAGGUUAAAACUCAAAGAAAUUGACGGGGACCCGCACAAGCGGUGGAGCAUGUGGCUUAAUUCGAUGCAACGCGAAGAACCUUACCUGGGUUUGACAUGUAUUAGAAUAUAGCUGAAAGGUUAUAGUCCUUCGGGACUGGUACACAGAUGCUGCAUGGCUGUCGUCAGCUCGUGUCGUGAGAUGUUCGGUUAAGUCCGGCAACGAGCGCAACCCUCGCCCUAUGUUACUCUUCGGAGGUCUCUUAGGGGACAAACCUGAAUUCAGGUGGGAAGGUGGGGAUGACGUCAAGUCAGUAUGGCUCUUACAUCCAGGGCUGCACACGUGCUACAAUGGUCGGUACAAAGGGAAGCUACACUGUAAAGUGAUGCAAAUC
rnacentral:rRNA from 1 species